GACGAACGCUGGCGGCGUGCCUAAUACAUGCAAGUUGAGCGCUGAAGGUUGGUACUUGUACCAACUGGAUGAGCAGCGAACGGGUGAGUAACACGUGGGGAAUCUGCCUUUGAGCGUGGGACAACAUUUGGAAACGAAUGCUAAUACCGCAUAAAAACUUUAAACACAAGUUUUAAGUUUGAAAGAUGCAAUUGCAUCACUCAAAGAUGAUCCCGCGUUGUAUUAGCUAGUUGGUGAGGUAAAGGCUCACCAAGGCGACGAUACAUAGCCGACCUGAGAGGGUGAUCGGCCACAUUGGGACUGAGACACGGCCCAAACUCCUACGGGAGGCAGCAGUAGGGAAUCUUCGGCAAUGGACGAAAGUCUGACCGAGCAACGCCGCGUGAGUGAAGAAGGUUUUCGGAUCGUAAAACUCUGUUGGUAGAGAAGAACGUUGGUGAGAGUGGAAAGCUCAUCAAGUGACGGUAACUACCCAGAAAGGGACGGCUAACUACGUG
rnacentral:rRNA from 1 species